rnacentral:rRNA from 1 species
AUUGAACGCUGGCGGCAGGCCUAACACAUGCAAGUCGAGCGGAUGAAGGGAGCUUGCUCCUGGAUUCAGCGGCGGACGGGUGAGUAAUGCCUAGGAAUCUGCCUGGUAGUGGGGGAUAACGUCCGGAAACGGGCGCUAAUACCGCAUACGUCCUGAGGGAGAAAGUGGGGGAUCUUCGGACCUCACGCUAUCAGAUGAGCCUAGGUCGGAUUAGCUAGUUGGUGGGGUAAAGGCCUACCAAGGCGACGAUCCGUAACUGGUCUGAGAGGAUGAUCAGUCACCCUGGAACUGAGACACGGCCCAGACUCCUACGGGAGGCAGCAGUGGGGAAUAUUGGACAAUGGGCGAAAGCCUGAUCCAGCCAUGCCGCGUGUGUGAAGAAGGUCUUCGGAUUGUAAAGCACUUUAAGUUGGGAGGAAGGGCAGUAAGUUAAUACCUUGCUGUUUUGACGUUACCAACAGAAUAAGCACCGGCUAACUUCGUG